UACAGAGGUCUCAAGCGUUGUUCGGAUUCAUUGGGCGUAAAGGGUGCGUAGGCGGCGAGGCAAGUCUGGUGUGAAAUCCCGGGGCUCAACCCCGGAACUGCACUGGAUACUGCUUUGCUAGAGUACUGGAGAGGGAACUGGAAUUUACGGUGUAGCAGUGAAAUGCGUAGAUAUCGUAAGGAAGACCAGUGGCGAAGGCGAGUUCCUGGACAGUUACUGACGCUGACGCACGAAGGCCAGGGGGAGCAAACGGG
rnacentral:rRNA from 1 species